rnacentral:rRNA from 1 species
AACAAACGCUGGCGGCGUGCCUAACACAUGCAAGUCGUACGAGAAAGGGUCCUUCGGGGCCUGAGUAAAGUGGCGCACGGGUGAGUAACGCGUGGAUAAUCUGCCCUUCAGUUGGGAAUAACUCCUCGAAAGGUGGGCCAAUACCGAAUAAUGCUGUGAGACAUCGGGUGAUCAGCCAAAGAGAGCCUCUGUUUGCAAGCCCUCGCUGAAGUAUGAGUCCGGGUACCAUUAGCUGGUUGGUAGGGUAAUGGCCUACCAAGGCGACGAUGGUUAGCUGGUCUGAGAGGAUGAUCAGCCACACUGGAACUGAGACGCGGUCCAGACUCCUACGGGAGGCAGCAGUGAGGAAUCUUGCGCAAUGGGGGCAACCCUGACGCAGCAACGCCGCGUGAGUGAGGAAGGUCUUCGGAUCGUAAAGCUCUGUCGGAUGGAAAGAACCGCAUAGGGGUAAACAGCCCCUGUGUCUGACGGUACCAUCAAAGGAAGCACCGGCUAACUCCGUGCCAGCAGCCGCAGUAAUAC